CCCCUAGACGUUCUGGGCUGCACGCGCGCUACAAUAAUACGCACAGCGAGUAUCACCGAGCUCGAAAGGGCAAGGUAAACAAUAGAAAAGGUACUGUAAUGGUUAUAGAUCCUUGUAAUUAUUGAUCUUCAACGAGGAAUUCCUAGUAAGUAUGUGUCAUCAUCACGCACUGAUUACGUCCCUGCCCUUUGUACACACCGCCCGUCGCUCCUACCGAUUGAGUGAGCCGAUGAAACUGCCGGAUGUGGACUAUUCAUAGUCUGCAGAAGAUAUUUGAAUCGUAGCGCUUAGAGGAAGGAGAAGCCGUAACA
rnacentral:rRNA from 1 species